rnacentral:rRNA from 1 species
UACAGAGGGUGCGAGCGUUGUCCGGAAUCACUGGGCGUAAAGGGCGCGUAGGUGGCGCCGUAAGUCCGUGGUGAAAGCUCGAUGCUCAACAUCGAGUCGGCCACGGAGACUGCGGGGCUCGAGCACUGUAGGGGCAGAUGGAAUUCCGGGUGUAGCGGUGGAAUGCGUAGAGAUCCGGAAGAACACCGGUGGCGAAGGCGGUCUGCUGGGCAGUUGCUGACACUGAGGCGCGACAGCGUGGGGAGCAAACAGG